UACGUAGGGGGCAAGCGUUGUCCGGAAUCAUUGGGCGUAAAGCGCGUGUAGGCGGCUCGGUAAGUCCGCUCUGAAAGUCCAGGGCUCAACCCUGGGAUGCGGGUGGAUACUGUCGGGCUCGAGUCCGGAAGAGGCGAGUGGAAUUCCUGGUGUAGCGGUGAAAUGCGCAGAUAUCAGGAGGAACACCAAUGGCGAAGGCAGCUCUCUGGGACGGUACUGACACUGAGACGCGAAAGCGUGGGGAGCGAACAGG
rnacentral:rRNA from 1 species